GUGUAAGUAUAUUUUAAUAUUUAUUUAUUAACAUAAAAGAUGGUUUGUAAAACUUUGAAAAGUUUAAACAACUGUUAUUAUGAAUCGACAGCAAUUUGCGGAAGUAACUAUGAAAUCGAUGUUUCCUUUAUUUGUACAGUUUAUUGCUUACGUAUUGUAGGGUAUUUAAGAAACAAUUCAUGUUGAUUUUAAGUCCUGGAUACGAAAUGUAAAUAGAAACAAAAUUAUAAAAUAAUAUGAAUUAUAAAACACAGAGAAUUAAAGUCUAAAAUAUCAAAUUUGAGAAUUUUAAAUUAAAGUCCAAAAUAAUAAACGAAGCUGAAUUUUUCCUUGGUCACAAACGUUUGCAUCUCCCAUGCAGAGUUAUCUGUCUUUGCUAACUCUCUCUGCGUGGGACAUUGAAUGUUUUGCUGGAAAAUAUGAAUGCCCACUCAAAUUCAAUCUAUCAGAAAAAUCGAAUUAGUACAGAAGAGUGUCCACCAUGCACUUGCACAGCACUAUAAUUAAUAUAGUGCAAUAGAAUGAUA
rnacentral:lncRNA from 1 species